rnacentral:rRNA from 1 species
AGGGAGCUUGCUCCCUGAUUCAGCGGCGGACGGGUGAGUAAUGCCUAGGAAUCUGCCUGGUAGUGGGGGACAACGUCUCGAAAGGGACGCUAAUACCGCAUACGUCCUACGGGAGAAAGUGGGGGAUCUUCGGACCUCACGCUAUCAGAUGAGCCAAGGUCGGAUUAGCUAGUUGGUGAGGUAAUGGCUCACCAAGGCGACGAUCCGUAACUGGUCUGAGAGGAUGAUCAGUCACACUGGAACUGAGACACGGUCCAGACUCCUACGGGAGGCAGCAGUGGGGAAUAUUGGACAAUGGGCGAAAGCCUGAUCCAGCCAUGCCGCGUGUGUGAAGAAGGUCUUCGGAUUGUAAAGCACUUUAAGUUGGGAGGAAGGGCAUUAACCUAAUACGUUAGUGUUUUGACGCUACCGACAGAAUAAGCACCGGCUAACUCUGUGCCAGCAGCCGCGGUAAUACAGAGGGUGCAAGCGUUAAUCGGAAUUACUGGGCGUAAAGCGCGCGUAGGUGGUUUGUUAAGUUGGAUGUGAAAUCCCCGGGCUCAACCUGGGAACUGCAUCCAAAACUGGCAAGCUAGAGUAGGGCAGAGGGUGGUGGAAUUUCCUGUGUAGCGGUGAAAUGCGUAGAUAUAGGAAGGAACACCAGUGGCGAAGGCGACCACCUGGGCUCAUACUGACA